AGCCUGUCCACUACAGUGUCAAAGUAGAGCGCCACCACUGUCCUGGUGGUGAGUACUGCACUCAGACUUCCUGUGAGCGCUGAUGGCCGCCCAGAUGCGACACAACAUGCCGCCUCUGCAACAUAAGUGGGACAUAAACAGUACAUGAGGUCAUCCCUGCAGGCCAAGUGGAGCAGGCAGUCCAAGCUGAACUCAUGAGACACCAACUGGGUGCACAGGAACAGGAAGUAGUUAGAGAGGUAUCAAACAGGGAUCACGCAGCGCUGAAUCACCUUGUCAACAGUGUUGUGAUCCACAGGCACCGCCUCCAGCCAGCGCACCAUGUCAUCCACGUCCUGGCCACUCCUCCUCUGGACAGUCGACACAACUUCUGCUUUCAAAGUGACGGUCCAACAAGGAUUCAGGGUCAUGAAACAUGAAGAACAUGUUCCUUAAUGUUGUGAAUAUUCAUGAAGUCAUGUUGUGAGAUGGUGAUGAGGAGGACUACACCCCCGACAAACCAGUCAGGCAGAAACCUGAAAGCCUGAAGCCGAGCACGUGGCCGCCAUAGACCGAUAUUGUGAAACCAGCCAGCUGUCAAACAUCUAUACCAGAAGAAGACGUUGUGAAACCAGCCAGCUGUCAAACAUCUAUACGAGAAGAAGACGUUGUGAAACCAGCCAGCUGUCAAACAUCUAUACGAGAAGAAGACAUUGUGAAACCAGCCAGCUGUCAAACAUCUA